rnacentral:rRNA from 1 species
UCAGUGGGCGAACGGGUGAGUAACACGUGAGCAACCUGCCCCGGACUCUGGGAUAAGCGCUGGAAACGGCGUCUAAUACUGGAUACGAGCUGCAACCGCAUGGUUAGCAGUUGGAAAGAAUUUCGGUCUGGGAUGGGCUCGCGGCCUAUCAGCUUGUUGGUGAGGUAAUGGCUCACCAAGGCGUCGACGGGUAGCCGGCCUGAGAGGGUGACCGGCCACACUGGGACUGAGACACGGCCCAGACUCCUACGGGAGGCAGCAGUGGGGAAUAUUGCACAAUGGGCGGAAGCCUGAUGCAGCAACGCCGCGUGAGGGACGACGGCCUUCGGGUUGUAAACCUCUUUUAGCAAGGAAGAAGCGAAAGUGACGGUACUUGCAGAAAAAGCGCCGGCUAACUACGUGCCAGCAGCCGCGGUAAUACGUAGGGCGCAAGCGUUAUCCGGAAUUAUUGGGCGUAAAGAGCUCGUAGGCGGUUUGUCGCGUCUGCUGUGAAAUCCCGAGGCUCAACCUCGGGUCUGCAGUGGGUACGGGCAGACUAGAGUGCGGUAGGGGAGAUUGGAAUUCCUGGUGUAGCGGUGGAAUGCGCAGAUAUCAGGAGGAACACCGAUGGCGAAGGCAGAUCUCUGGGCCGUAACUGACGCUGAGGAGCGAAAGGGUGGGGAGCAAACAGGCUUAGAUACCCUGGUAGUCCACCCCGUAAACGUUGGGAACUAGUUGUGGGGUCCAUUCCACGGAUUCCGUGACGCAGCUAACGCAUUAAGUUCCCCGCCUGGGGAGUACGGCCGCAAGGCUAAAACUCAAAGGAAUUGACGGGGACCCGCACAAGCGGCGGAGCAUGCGGAUUAAUUCGAUGCAACGCGAAGAACCUUACCAAGGCUUGACAUACACGAGAACGCUGCAGAAAUGUAGAACUCUUUGGACACUCGUGAACAGGUGGUGCAUGGUGUCGUCAG